rnacentral:sRNA from 1 species
UUGUGGGGCAGCACUGUGAACACUCACAGCAGGUACAGCAUGGACAGGGGCAGGGCAGACUUACGCCAUGGCAACAUGCCUCAGCCCUUCCCUGGAGUGAGAGGGGAGUUCAGUCUCCAUGGCUCAUGCAACCCUUGGCUUUU